AAAUUGAAGAGUUUGAUCAUGGCUCAGAUUGAACGCUGGCGGCAGGCCUAACACAUGCAAGUCGAGCGGAAACGAGUUAUCUGAACCUUCGGGGAACGAUAACGGCGUCGAGCGGCGGACGGGUGAGUAAUGCCUAGGAAAUUGCCCUGAUGUGGGGGAUAACCAUUGGAAACGAUGGCUAAUACCGCAUAAUGCCUACGGGCCAAAGAGGGGGACCUUCGGGCCUCUCGCGUCAGGAUAUGCCUAGGUGGGAUUAGCUAGUUGGUGAGGUAAGGGCUCACCAAGGCGACGAUCCCUAGCUGGUCUGAGAGGAUGAUCAGCCACACUGGAACUGAGACACGGUCCAGACUCCUACGGGAGGCAGCAGUGGGGAAUAUUGCACAAUGGGCGCAAGCCUGAUGCAGCCAUGCCGCGUGUGUGAAGAAGGCCUUCGGGUUGUAAAGCACUUUCAGUCGUGAGGAAGGUAGUGUAGUUAAUAGCUGCAUUAUUUGACGUUAGCGACAGAAGAAGCACCGGCUAACUCCGUGCCAGCAGCCGCGGUAAUACGGAGGGUGCGAGCGUUAAUCGGAAUUACUGGGCGUAAAGCGCAUGCAGGUGGUUUGUUAAGUCAGAUGUGAAAGCCCGGGGCUCAACCUCGGAAUAGCAUUUGAAACUGGCAGACUAGAGUACUGUAGAGGGGGGUAGAAUUUCAGGUGUAGCGGUGAAAUGCGUAGAGAUCUGAAGGAAUACCGGUGGCGAAGGCGGCCCCCUGGACAGAUACUGACACUCAGAUGCGAAAGCGUGGGGAGCAAACAGGAUUAGAUACCCUGGUAGUCCACGCCGUAAACGAUGUCUACUUGGAGGUUGUGGCCUUGAGCCGUGGCUUUCGGAGCUAACGCGUUAAGUAGACCGCCUGGGGAGUACGGUCGCAAGAUUAAAACUCAAAUGAAUUGACGGGGGCCCGCACAAGCGGUGGAGCAUGUGGUUUAAUUCGAUGCAACGCGAAGAACCUUACCUACUCUUGACAUCCAGAGAACUUUCCAGAGAUGGAUUGGUGCCUUCGGGAACUCUGAGACAGGUGCUGCAUGGCUGUCGUCAGCUCGUGUUGUGAAAUGUUGGGUUAAGUCCCGCAACGAGCGCAACCCUUAUCCUUGUUUGCCAGCGAGUAAUGUCGGGAACUCCAGGGAGACUGCCGGUGAUAAACCGGAGGAAGGUGGGGACGACGUCAAGUCAUCAUGGCCCUUACGAGUAGGGCUACACACGUGCUACAAUGGCGCAUACAGAGGGCGGCCAACUUGCGAAAGUGAGCGAAUCCCAAAAAGUGCGUCGUAGUCCGGAUUGGAGUCUGCAACUCGACUCCAUGAAGUCGGAAUCGCUAGUAAUCGUGGAUCAGAAUGCCACGGUGAAUACGUUCCCGGGCCUUGUACACACCGCCCGUCACACCAUGGGAGUGGGCUGCAAAAGAAGUAGGUAGUUUAACCUUCGGGGGGACGCUUACCACUUUGUGGUUCAUGACUGGGGUGAAGUCGUAACAAGGUAGCGCUAGGGGAACCUGGCGCUGGAUCACCUCCUUAUACGAUGAU
rnacentral:rRNA from 1 species